rnacentral:misc_RNA from 1 species
CUCCUCGACAAUAUGCUCUUCGCCAUGGAAGCUAACGGACUUUCCAGCAGAGCGCUUGGAGGCCAGCAUCUUGAUGGAGCGAUAAGGAAAGUCCCGAUCAGAAAGGACGGAGAGAAAUUCCUGGCCGACGGCGCCGGUGACGCCGACAACGGCGAGAGAGGGGCCGUUCUCCUGAUAUGCCAUACGAACAACUUUAGAGAUGCGCCUUGGUUUAGGGUGAGGAGAAGCAGUGGAGAAGAAGAAGG